CCCACACCCAUGUGUGUAGGACCCGAGAGGAUCACCAUUAAAUUUGGUACAGAUCUCUAGAAAAGUUAUCACAUGGGUGUGAGACUUGACUUUUUUAGAGAUCUGUGCCAAAUUUAAUGGUGAUCCUUUCGGAUCCCUAUACACAUGGGUGUGGG
rnacentral:pre_miRNA from 1 species